CAAGGGUAGAAUUCUAUUAAUAGUAAAUGCCUGCCUACUCUGUAGUAUGAACCAGGAUUAGGGCUAUCCCUGCCCAGUUUCCAGGAUACAAUGUUACCUGCCUGGAUUAUGCAUGGAAAUGCCAACAAAUACAGAGCAUAUGCAUGCACAUGCAAUAAAUGCUAUGUAUACACGGAAGCUAUCUCCUUUCGAAAAAAAAGAAGAUGGUUUCCAUAAAGAACGCGGGGAAGUAUGUAGAUACUUCCAUUUCAAAGCUCCAGUCGAAAUACGUAGCUGCAAGACGCCGAUUGAUUUGAUAGGCGAUGGGACCAAUUGCAAGCAUUCAAAUGCUCAUGGAAGGACUUCGUUAUCUUUAGCAGAUAGAAUGAGUGAUUUUGAGAUCCAUUGACCGUAGAGAAUGGGGAGAGAACAGGCGCAGCCCUGGCAGUACUGUACGCGCCAUAUCAUACCGUGUCAUGCAAUAUCCUUGAAUCCCUCGGUACAAUGCGCAUGAAUCCAGCUCCAUACAUACCGAUAAAGAAAAAAAAAUCGCAACGUCGUCCGAUAUCGCAAGGAAGACCGAAACGGCAUUUGGACAAUUCACCUCGUGUAACAUUGUGUAACCCAUCUCCAUGCACACACCAGGUCAUAUUUAUACAUACCGAGUAGUCCAUUGCUAAUCAGGGAACCCUAUGCGUAGUGUUUCUACUUGUGACUUAUCAUACACUUACAGUACAUGUAGUUGACCAGUUGGUGCAGGUGGCGGUAGGGCUUGUUGAACGUGAUGGAUGAUGUAUCCAAGGCAUGUACAUAAGUAUAUACGUAUCGUAUCGCAAAUUCAUAGAUACUUAGAUAUUAGAUUAGGCUCAAGUCAGAUAACGGAUAGGCAUAUGUCUACACGGCAGUAACUCCAACUCUUAAUCGCUUCCAAAUGAGCGUUGGACCUGACAGUUGAUGGCUACAUCUGGCAUCACUCACCGAGAGGUGGCUGGAC
rnacentral:lncRNA from 1 species